UACGAAAGGUGCAAGCGUUACUCGGAAUCACUGGGCGUAAAGCGCACGUAGGCGGAUUCGCAAGUCAAUUGUGAAAGCCCCAGGCUCAACCUGGGAAUUGCAGUUGAAACUGCGUUUCUUGAAUAUCUGAGAGGGUGGGGGAAUACCUAGUGGAGAAGUGAAAUUCGUAGAGAUUAGGUGGAACACCAGAGGCGAAGGCGCCUGCCUGGCAGAAUAUUGACGCUGAGGUGCGAAAGUGUGGGGAGCAAACAGGAUUAGAAACCCCGGUAGUCC
rnacentral:rRNA from 1 species